AACAAUUGACCACGUGCUAGUAGAAGAUUAGAUCCUCGUACACCAAACAAUCCCUAAUUAGUAGUGCGUCCUCAAAUUUGUAAAGGUAUGGUUCAAAAUUAAAAGAGGAUGAUUGAGGAAACAGGAAGCUGAGAUGAAGGAUGGAGCUAGAAUCCAGAAAGAAAAAAAAUAGAAUCAGGAGGAAGAAACCACAGCAUGGCUCGUGUAGAUUAGGCUCGGGCUAUAAGAGAAGAGCCUCAAAUCAUCAGAAUCAAGGGACACUGGUUUGUUUGGUACUAAUGAUUGGCUAUUUUAUAGGAGAUGCCUGACCACUUCUAGUCUUGGAUACUUGGAUAGAGGAAGUAUUAAAAAACACUAGGUGUUAACAUAUAUAGUAGAAUUCUGGCAUUACAACAUAUAGCGGCAAGAAAAUACUACAGACAAAUGAUACUAGGUCCACUAGGACAAUGGGAAACACGGGGAUACAGUCGUCUAGACACGCGGCAGUUGCAUCAGACCAUUUUGUGGCUCAAACAGUUUCUAAUCGUCACCAAACGUGGUCUUCUUCCCUGCAAGGCAUAAUGUACAAGGAAAGAGUUAGUUAGCAAAUCUAUACAACUCCCGAGAAAGAACCAACCAAAGUUUGCACGCUAGUCUUUUCCAUGCUAUACCGACAAUUUUCUAGCAUGCAUCAAACAAGUUAUAUUUUUGUUACUCGAGGGACUGGUUUCUUACCGGCGCUAGCUGUGCCAGCACUCUGUCUGCUCUGAAAGCCUCGGCCGCCUCCUCUGCCGCCAUCACGGCCACCAGACCGGCCAAACCUGCCGCCACCAUCACGGCCACCAGACCGGCCAAACCUGCCACCGCCAUCACGAC
rnacentral:lncRNA from 1 species